UGGGGAAUAUUGGAUAAUGGGGGGAACCCUGAUCCAGCCAUGCCGCGUGUGUGAAGAAGGCAUUAUGGUUGUAAAGAACUUUAAGCGAGGAGGAGGGUACUGGUAUUAAUACUACCAGGUACUGGACGUUACUCGCAGAAUAAGCACCGGCUAACUCUGUGCCAGCAGCCGCGGUAAUACAGAGGGUGCGAGCGUUAAUCGGAUUUACUGGGCGUAAAGCGUGCGUAGGCGGCUAAUUGAGUCGGAUGUGAAAUACCCGAGCUUAACUUGGGAAUUGCAUUCGAUACUGGUUAGCUAGAGUGUGGGAGAGGAUGGUAGAAUUCCAGGUGUAGCGGUGAAAUGCGUAGAGAUCUGGAGGAAUACCGAUGGCGAAGGCAGCCAUCUGGCCUAACACUGACGCUGAGGUACGAAAGCAUGGGGAGCAAACAGG
rnacentral:rRNA from 1 species